rnacentral:rRNA from 1 species
GUGGGGAAUCUUGCGCAAUGGGCGAAAGCCUGACGCAGCCAUGCCGCGUGAAUGAUGAAGGUCUUAGGAUUGUAAAAUUCUUUCACCGGGGACGAUAAUGACGGUACCCGGAGAAGAAGCUCCGGCUAACUUCGUGCCAGCAGCCGCGGUAAUACGAAGGGGGCUAGCGUUGCUCGGAAUUACUGGGCGUAAAGGGCGCGUAGGCGGACAGCUUAGUCAGAGGUGAAAGCCCAGGGCUCAACCUUGGAAUUGCCUUUGAUACUGGGUGUCUUGAGUUUGGGAGAGGUGAGUGGAACUCCGAGUGUAGAGGUGAAAUUCGUAGAUAUUCGGAAGAACACCAGUGGCGAAGGCGACUCACUGGCCCAAUACUGACGCUGAGGCGCGAAAGCAUGGGGAGCAAACAGGAUUAGAUACCCCGGUAGUCC